CAACAGCUUUCCCAACAGGUAACGGUACAGACAACAUCUAUGUCCCAACAGGUAACGGUACAGACAACAUCUAUGUCCCAACAGGUAACGGCACAGACAACAUCCGUGUCCCAACAGGUAACGGUACAGACAACAUCUAUGUCCCAACAGGUG